AUUGAACGCUGGCGGCAUGCCUUACACAUGCAAGUCGAACGGCAGCACGGGGGCAACCCUGGUGGCGAGUGGCGAACGGGUGAGUAAUACAUCGGAACGUGUCCUGGAGUGGGGGAUAGCCCGGCGAAAGCCGGAUUAAUACCGCAUACGCUCUAUGGAGGAAAGCGGGGGAUCUUCGGACCUCGCGCUCAAGGGGCGGCCGAUGGCGGAUUAGCUAGUUGGUAGGGUAAAGGCCUACCAAGGCGACGAUCCGUAGCUGGUCUGAGAGGACGACCAGCCACACUGGGACUGAGACACGGCCCAGACUCCUACGGGAGGCAGCAGUGGGGAAUUUUGGACAAUGGGGGCAACCCUGAUCCAGCAAUGCCGCGUGUGUGAAGAAGGCCUUCGGGUUGUAAAGCACUUUUGUCCGGAAAGAAAUCCUCUGGGUUAAUACCUCGGGGGGAUGACGGUACCGGAAGAAUAAGC
rnacentral:rRNA from 1 species